UACAGAGACUGCAAGCGUUAUUCGGAUUCACUGGGCGUAAAGGGUGCGCAGGCGGCCAAGUGUGUGAGGCGUGAAAGCCCGGGGCUUAACCCCGGAAUUGCACCUCAAACUACAUGGCUAGAGCAUUGGAGAGGGUAGCAGAAUUCAUGGUGUAGCAGUGAAAUGCGUAGAUAUCAUGAGGAAUACCAGAGGCGAAGGCGGCUACCUGGACAAUUGCUGACGCUCAGGCAUGAAAGCGUGGGGAGCAAAAGGG
rnacentral:rRNA from 1 species